rnacentral:misc_RNA from 1 species
GUAUGAGAGCAUGCUGGGAAGUGUUAUCACUGCCAGGGAUCGCUGGCUAAAAUGCGGAGGUAUUAUUCUUCCAUCAAAUUGCAAUGGUAAAUUUCCUUCGUUCUUGAUCAGUUAUCUUAUGGAGUCUUGAUCACUGCAAUAGUAAUAUGGAGAUGCAUUUUUUGUUCUACUUCCAGUUCAUAUUGUGUAGAACAGUCUAAACCAAGUUUUUCAAUUAAGAUUAAUUUGUUACUAAGUUUAAUGUUUUGCCAAAGCCCGCCAGGAAUGAAUGCCAUUUUUAACAUGUUGAAUCUGGCACCAAUCUUGUACUAAAUUUUGAUUUUCUACAAUUACUGCCUACAGUUAUACAUGGGACCUAUCACACAUUUUGAGAGAUACAAUGGAAGCGUUGAUUUUUGGCACAAUAUUUAUGGAAUUGAUAGUGAGUAUCAUAUGUGAAAUUCUCUAAAACCAUGAAACU